CCAGUCGGCUGGACGGCCGCUCUUUCCGCUUCGCGGGAAGGGAGGAAAGUCCGGGCUCCAUGGAAAAACGGUGCCGGAUAACGUCCGGCGGGGGCGACCCCAGGGAAAGUGCCACAGAAAGCAAACCGCCGCGCAAUUGGCUUCGGCUCGCGCGGCAAGGGUGAAAGGGUGGGGUAAGAGCCCACCGCGGACGCAGCAAUGCGGACGGCAAGGUAAACCCCACCGGGAGCAAGACCAAAAAGGGACGGCACGGGCUCUAGCAGCCCAGCCUUUUCCAGGCCCGCCGUCCGGGUCGGUCGCGAGAAGCGUUCGGUAACGGGCGCUCCAGAUGAAUGGUCGUCGCGUCGGGAUCGCAAGAUCCCGGCCUUACAGAACCCGGCUUACAGGCCGGCUGGCAUC
rnacentral:RNase_P_RNA from 1 species